rnacentral:rRNA from 1 species
AUUGAACGCUGGCGGCAGGCCUAACACAUGCAAGUCGAACGGUAACAGGAAACAGCUUGCUGUUUCGCUGACGAGUGGCGGACGGGUGAGUAAUGUCUGGGAAACUGCCUGAUGGAGGGGGAUAACUACUGGAAACGGUAGCUAAUACCGCAUAACGUCGCAAGACCAAAGAGGGGGACCUUCGGGCCUCUUGCCAUCGGAUGUGCCCAGAUGGGAUUAGCUAGUAGGUGGGGUAACGGCUCACCUAGGCGACGAUCCCUAGCUGGUCUGAGAGGAUGACCAGCCACACUGGAACUGAGACACGGUCCAGACUCCUACGGGAGGCAGCAGUGGGGAAUAUUGCACAAUGGGCGCAAGCCUGAUGCAGCCAUGCCGCGUGUAUGAAGAAGGCCUUCGGGUUGUAAAGUACUUUCAGCGGGGAGGAAGGGAGUAAAGAUAAUACCUUUGCUCAUUGACGUUACCCGCAGAAGAAGCACCGGCUAACUCCGUG